rnacentral:rRNA from 1 species
UAAUACGUAGGUGGCAAGCGUUGUCCGGAAUUAUUGGGCGUAAAGCGCGCGCAGGCGGCCUUUUAAGUCUGAUGUGAAAGCCCCCGGCUUAACCGGGGAGGGUCAUUGGAAACUGGGAGGCUUGAGUGCAGAAGAGGAAAGUGGAAUUCCAAGUGUAGCGGUGAAAUGCGUAGAGAUUUGGAGGAACACCAGUGGCGAAGGCGACUUUCUGGUCUGUUACUGACGCUGAGGCGCGAAAGCGUGGGGAGCAAACAGG